GCAUUGGUGGUUCAGUGGUAGAAUUCUUGCCUUCCAGGUGGGAGACCCAGGUUCAAUUCCCAGCCAAUGCA
rfam:Loxodonta africana unplaced genomic scaffold scaffold_48, whole genome shotgun sequence.